GACGAACGCUGGCGGCGUGCUUAACACAUGCAAGUCGAACGAUGAAGCCUAGCUUGCUAGGUGGAUUAGUGGCGAACGGGUGAGUAAUACGUGAGUAACCUACCUUUAACUCUGGGAUAAGCCUGGGAAACUGGGUCUAAUACCGGAUACGACCAAUCUCCGCAUGGGGUGUUGGUGGAAAGCGUUAUGUAGUGGUUAUAGAUGGGCUCACGGCCUAUCAGCUUGUUGGUGAGGUAACGGCUCACCAAGGCGACGACGGGUAGCCGGCCUGAGAGGGUGACCGGCCACACUGGGACUGAGACACGGCCCAGACUCCCACGGGAGGCAGCAGUGGGGAAUAUUGCACAAUGGGCGCAAGCCUGAUGUAGCGACGCCGCGUGAGGGAUGACGGCCUUCGGGUUGUAAACCUCUGUUAGCAGGGAAGAAGAGAAAU
rnacentral:rRNA from 1 species